AGCAGGGGAUCGCAAGACCUUGCGCUUUUGGAGCGGCCGAUGUCUGAUUAGCUAGUUGGUGAGGUAAAGGCUUACCAAGGCUUCGAUCAGUAGCUGGUCUGAGAGGACGACCAGCCACACUGGGACUGAGACACGGCCCAGACUCCUACGGGAGGCAGCAGUGGGGAAUUUUGGACAAUGGGGGAAACCCUGAUCCAGCCAUGCCGCGUGAGUGAAGAAGGCCUUCGGGUUGUAAAGCUCUUUCAGCCGGAACGAAAAGGUUACGGUUAAUACCCGUGACUAAUGACGGUACCGGAAGAAGAAGCACCGGCUAACUACGUGCCAGCAGCCGCGGUAAUACGUAGGGUGCGAGCGUUAAUCGGAAUUACUGGGCGUAAAGCGUGCGCAGGCGGUUUUGUAAGUCAGAUGUGAAAUCCCCGGGCUCAACCUGGGAACUGCGUUUGAAACUACAAAGCU
rnacentral:rRNA from 1 species